rnacentral:rRNA from 1 species
AACUUUGUUAUGCGCGGUAGAGGAGCGUUCCGUAAGCCGUUGAAGGUGGAUUGAGAAGUCUGCUGGAGGUAUCGGAAGUGCGAAUGCUGACAUGAGUAACGAUAAUGCGGGUGAAAAACCCGCACGCCGAAAGCCCAAGGUUUCCUUGCGCAACGUUAAUCGGCGCAGGGUGAGUCGGCCCCUAAGGCGAGGACGAAAGUCGUAGUCGAUGGGAAGCAGGUUAAUAUUCCUGCACCUCGCGUAAGUGCGAUGGAGGGACGGAGAAGGUUAGGUGUACCAGGCGUUGGUUGUCCUGGGGAAAGGCGGUAGGUUUGGAU